UUGCUUGCUUCACGUCUACGUCUCGGAGUCUGAAAUCAUGCGGACAUGUUGCUCCUACUUGAAUAUCUACUUCUUUGAUAAAACCUUUGCUUUUGUUCUGGAUGGAAUUUUCAGCCAAGUAUCUCAUUGUUAUUCUGCUCCGUCCUAAAUUGCUAAUACAUAGCUAUGCACGAAAGCAAGUACACGGGUCAAGCAAAGUGACAAAGGCCUACUUGAGACAUUUGAGCGUAAUAAAGGUAAAGAACGUCGCAUAUUCAAAGAAGGACAGGCUUCUAAAUUGCUGGAAAUUGGAGAGAAAGGAGAGAUGAAAGAUGAAGAACAGAAGACAGAACGUCAAACCAACGGUCGUGGUACAGGAUUGGCAAGGUAGAUAUGAAUGGUAUCUGUCCCAUGCAUGCAAUGGCGGAUAUCACCAUACCUCACGUGCUACACUGAGGCCCCAGCGCUGAGUUCUUUACGCUCCUACCAAACUUCCAUACCUUUCUGCAUUUCGUGUGAUGUGACCAUGGUGAGUGCACAUGAAAGAAAACUGCAGAAGAUACCAGACAAAGAUGUAUACCGUGUGAGAAAAAGGGAUUCUCUUAUCAAGUCCCGCUACUCGACUUGAAGUUGCCCGACUACUGGUACGGUAAGAGCCUUUUACGAAGCACACAUCUAAUCAAUCAGUCAUUUGUUACCAAAGCAGAGUGUCUGAGGUGCUCUAAGGUAUCUCGAUACGGCCCACGGGGACACGGGUAGCGGCCGGUUGAACCCCAAAGCUGCUUGAGCUAUACCCCCAGUAUCAAGAGCCAAUCGAUGUUGUGAUUUAAACGGCUCGAACUCCACUUUAUUUAGACACUAGACCCUCUUGUCACUGAGAGCCCAUCUCCCGACUAAUCGUCCAGCGCCUUCCGUUGGGAUAAUUGUCUCUCAUAAACAAGCAAUCGCUGAACGAUUGGCUCAGCGAGCUGUGGAGAGUAGGGAGUUUUUGCCUCGGCCCACAAGCGCGCGGCAGUUCACGAGGUAAAACAUCUUAUGCGACACAGGCAACGCGGGUAGCCAAGGGUGCUAAGCGAUCUGAGAGUGAGAUGGAUGUGAUUAAGUAUCGGAUAUGUCAUCCGCUAAAGUAGAGACCCCUUCGCACAAAUUCAACUGGUCUUUUAUUUUAUGUACAAAAAAAAUGGCGCGCGCUCGGUUUUAAGGAGA